GACUCAACACGGGGAAACUCACCCGGUCCGGACACUGGAAGGAUUGACAGAUUAAAAGCUCUUUCUUGAUUCAGUGGGUGGUGGUGCAUGGCCGUUCUUAGUUGGUGGAGUGAUUUGUCUGGUUAAUUCCGAUAACGAACGAGACUCUAGCCUGCUAACUAGUUCGCCGGCAGCUCUUGUCGCGCGGCGCCGCUUCGGCGGCAAACUUCUUAGAGGGACAGGUGGCGUUUAGCCACACGAAGUAGAGCAAUAACAGGUCUGUGAUGCCCUUAGAUGUCCGGGGCCGCACGCGCGCUACACUGAAAGAAUCAACGUGGAUGCCCACCUGCUCCGAGAGGAGUGGGAAACCCGAUGAAUCUCUUUCGUGAUGGGGAUUGGGGCUUGUAAUUGUUCCCCAUGAACGAGGAAUUCCCAGUAAGCGUCAGUCAUCAGCUGGCGCUGAUUACGUCCCUGCCCUUUGUACACACCGCCCGUCGCUACUACCGAUUGAAUGGUUUAGUGAGACCCUCGGACUGGAGUCCGUCCGCCGCUUUCGGGUGGUGGAUGGGGACGGAAAGACGGUCGAACUUGAUCAUUUAGAGGAAGUAA
rnacentral:rRNA from 1 species